AACGGCCGUACCAUGCUGAAUAUACCGGUUCUCGUUAGAUCACCGAAGUCAAGCAUCAUUGGGCGCGGUCAGUACUUGGGUGGGUGGCCACC
rnacentral:rRNA from 1 species